rnacentral:sRNA from 1 species
GUUCGACUCGAGCGAAGCGAGAGAACGUUGCCGCAGGCAACGGCCCGAAGGGCGAGGCGCUUUAGCGCCGAGUAAUCCUUCCCCCACCACCA